AAAUCGCUCUACCUUAUGUUGUACAGUUGUCAAUGUCAACAUUUUAUUGUUCUUAUUGCAGAAUUAUUUGUACAAAGUAACUCUAUGUAUUCAUAUCUAAUGCUAAGAUACACCUCUUUGUUAUUGCUAAUGAUGAAUUUGGAAUUUUUUUUCUUUUUAAAUAUAUAUAUAUAUGUUGCAGUUUUGCUGACUAGAAAUUUGUGCAAUGCUAAUAUUGAUUUUGUUUUCAUCUUUUUUUUAAUUCUAAAUUUUGUGGCAAGGAGUUUUGUGUAGUUGCAGCCAUUGUCAAGGAUUUCAUGCACUUGGUAAAAUUGAUCAAAUGACGAGAGUGACUAGCUCGGUAGCUUGCACUGAGACGCAUCCCAUUGUAAGGCAAUAAACAUUACAAACAGUGUCUGUGAUACAACGAGAUUCAAAUCAACUCUUCAGAUAAUAGUGCACAAUGAGAUUUAGUAAUUAAUCGUAGGAAGGGAUUUUUUCCUUUUGCUUUUUAUACUUUGCAAGGAGUCGCAUCUGUGUUCAAUGUUGGACAAUUAUAUAGGAAAUUUAGAGUUGACACAUAAAAUUAGGUAAAUAUUUUACUUUUUUAUUCACAUGUAGUAUAUUUUAAGAUACCAAACCUGAAUUCAGCAUACUUGGUACAAAUAAAUCUCAUUGGUUUUCUUAUUGUGUAAUUUAUUUCUCUAACUCAUCCUUAAAAGUGACAUUGCAUGAUCCGUCUUCUGUGUUGUUAACUUACGUAGGGGAGAGUUGGGGUAUGUUAGGAACAGUCUGUGUUGGCCGCGCGAUCUUCCUUCAUGUUCAUAGCUUAUUUAGAGGACAGCAUGGAAAUAAAUCUGUGACGAGUUAAUUUGUAAAAGCACAAAAAAUUCACAAAAAAUGUUAAUUUAUAAACUAAGAUACAAGCCAUCAGAGAAUAAAAGAUGAAAU
rnacentral:misc_RNA from 1 species